CCUACGGGGUGCAGCAGUGAGGAAUAUUGGUCAAUGGGCGCAAGCCUGAACCAGCCAAGUCGCGUGAGGGAUGACGGUCCUAUGGAUUGUAAACCUCUUUUGUCGGGGAGCAAGGCCCGCCACGUGUGGCGGGAAGGAGAGUACCCGAAGAAAAAGCAUCGGCUAACUCGGUGCCAGCAGCCGCGGUAAUACGGAGGAUGCGAGCGUUAUCCGGAUUUAUUGGGUUUAAAGGGUGCGUAGGCGGAAGGUUAAGUCAGCGGUAAAAUGUCGGUGCUCAACACCGGCCUGCCGUUGAAACUGGUCUUCUUGAGUGAGCGAGAAGUAUGCGGAAUGCGUGGUGUAGCGGUGAAAUGCAUAGAUAUCACGCAGAACUCCGAUUGCGAAGGCAGCAUACCGGCGCUCAACUGACGCUGAGGCACGAAAGCGUGGGGAUCGAACAGGAUUAGAUACCCCAGUAGUC
rnacentral:rRNA from 1 species